AACCAGCUCAGGUAAUCCCAGCACUAAUUCUUGUCCCACAGAGCCUGGGAAGGUGUUUCCAUGAGUCCUGGGAUUCAUGGAGCCCCUUUCUGUUGCUCCCCACUCCUGGAGCAUCUCCCUGAUUAUCCCAGCCCUGACAUCCCCUCCUGGGGUGUGGGAAAGGCACCUAAUCCAGAGCAAGGCUUUGCCUCUGGCCUGGGAGGUUGGACUGGCUGAAAAUCUGCUGCUAAAAAAGGUAUAUUUUGGUGUUCAACUCAGGUGGUUUUUGUUUCCAGCUCUUGGAUCUCCUCAGGCCUUUCUUUCCUGAAGCAAAAAAAAAGGCUUGGCUGCUCUUUCAGUCCUUUAUCCGAGGGGAUGGCCGGACAAAUGACAUUUCUGAUGGAAAAUUCCGGGCUCCAUCAGGUGAAAUUGGGGGGCAAAUAAACUCCAACCCUUUAUUUUUCAGCGUCAAUCAGUGCAGGCACAACGAAGGAUCCAAUUAUUUCGAAGCAAUCCAUGAUUAGGGGCUAUUUUCCUGCUGUCCUAUAACAUAAACCCUGAAAGAAAUCAUCACAGGGAUACAAUAACAACAUAAAAAACACAUCAGCACUUGCAGGCUGGAAGGAACACGGUAAAAUUCCAGCUGCCCUUGCAGAAAUGGAGACAAAACCCCUCUCACUGGGAUUUUUUUUAGCACUUUAUGUCACUAUUUCAUUUACAGUGGAAAUAAGAAACUCAAAGGUGGAAGGGAUGUCACCAGAGAGGUUUAAAGCAUCAUUUACGCCCUGAAAUCUGGCCUCCAAAGGAUUGAUUUAAGCUGGACAACUCCAGGGCUGAACUUAGGUGAAAUGAAUCCCAGUUUUACUGCCCAUCCCCUGCUGCUGCUCAGACUCCACUUGAAGACACCACAGUCCAAGUCCAAGAAUUUCUAGGAAGCAGGGGUUUUAGUGCUGGAGCCCCUGGAGGGGCUGUGGUUGCUGCUUAUCCAACAGGACACCUUCUGGAGCCACCUGAGAGGAGCAUCCCUGGCUCCAUCCCAAAAGUGACUCACCAUUCCCAGAGGAAAUGCACUGGCAGGGAUGAACUAUAAAUGCUAUUUUAACAGGUAUCCAGUGAAAACCCAGCCAGGAAUUCAUUAGGAUCCCAAAGCAGCCCAUUUUCUGAAGGAGAAUGAAAUACAAUCCACCUUCCCUGUGGGUGCUGCUUUCCUAAGACAUAAAAAGCUACCAAGAGUUUUGCCUUUGCUCCAAAUUCUCAUCACUUUCAAACAGAAUAACUUUAGACUGGAACAGAAGAGAAUCUUCCAAUUCCAAUCUUCCAAGCAGAACAUUCCCAGGGAUAAGUUUUCCCCUUUUUUUUUGGCUGAGUUAUUUGUGCAGGAACCAUCACAAAGCUGUUCUGGAGGGGGUUUAUCUGCGGGUUGGUGGUUUUAUUUCUCCUACACCUUCAUGGAGCAUCCCUGGGGUGGAGAA